CAGCACCAAGGGGUGGCACGGGGCACUGUCAGCCUAAGCCAAGUGCCAUUAGCCCUUACAUAAAGAAGAAAACACAGCCUGCCCCUUUUGGCUCUCAUCCAGAAAGGCAAGCUUUCUACUCCUUCCCCAUCCUGUCAGGCCAUAAAUGGGGGUGACAGAUGAGCUGCUGAACAGACCCACCAUCUUUCAUCGGAUUUAUUGAAACUUAGCGUUGGCC